rnacentral:rRNA from 1 species
AGGAUAACGAUUGGAAACAGUUGCUAAGACUGGAUAGGAAAAGUAAAGGCAUCUUUACUUUUUUAAAAGACCUUUUUUGAAGGUAUGCUUAAGGAGGGGCUUGCGACACAUUAGUUAGUUGGCAGGGUAAAGGCCUACCAAGACUAUGAUGUGUAGCUGGACUGAGAGGUUGAACAGCCACAUUGGGACUGAGACACGGCCCAAACUCCUACGGGAGGCAGCAGUAGGGAAUUUUCGGCAAUGGAGGAAACUCUGACCGAGCAACGCCGCGUGAACGAUGAAGUACCUCGGUAUGUAAAGUUCUUUUAUUAAGGAAGAAAAAAGAGUGGAAAAACUCCCUUGACGGUACUUAAUGAAUAAGCCCCGGCUAAUUAUGUGCCAGCAGCCGCGGUAAUACAUAAGGGGCGAGCGUUAUCCGGAAUUAUUGGGCGUAAAGGGUGCGUAGGCGGUUUAAUAAGUCUAUAGUUUAAUUUCAGUGCUUAACGCUGUUGUGCUAUAGAAACUGUUUUACUAGAGUGAGUUAGAGGCAAGCGGAAUUCCAUGUGUAGCGGUAAAAUGCGUAAAUAUAUGGAGGAACACCAGAGGCGUAGGCGGCUUGCUGGGACUUUACUGACGCUGAGGCACGAAAGCGUGGGAGCAAACAGGAUUAGAUACCCUGGUAGUCCACACCGUAAACGAUGAGUACUAAGUGUCGGGUAAAACCGGUACUGAAGUUAACACAUUAAGUACUCCGCCUGAGUAGUACGUACGCAAGUAUGAAACUUAAAGGAAUUGACGGGACUCCGCACAAGCGGUGGAUCAUGUUGUUUAAUUCGAAGAUACACGAAAAACCUUACCAGGUCUUGACAUUUUCUUGCGAAGUUAUAGAAAUAUAAUGGAGGUUAUCAGGAAAACAGGUGGUGCAUGGUUGUCGUCAGCUCGUGUCGUGAGAUGUUAGGUUAAGUCCUAAAACGAGCGCAACCCUUGUCGUUAAUUGCCAGCAUGUAAUGAUGGGGACUUUAACGAGACUGCCAAUGAAAAAUUGGAGGAAGGUGGGGAUUACGUCAAAUCAUCAUGCCCCUUAUGAUCUGGGCUACAAACGUGAUACAAUGGUUGAUACAAAGAGUAGCUGAAACGCGAGUUCUUAGCCAAUCUCACAAAAUCAAUCUCAGUUCGGAUUGAAGUCUGCAACUCGACUUCAUGAAGUUGGAAUCGCUAGUAAUCGCGAAUCAGCAUGUCGCGGUGAAUACGUUCUCGGGGUUUGUACACACCGCCCGUCAA